rnacentral:rRNA from 1 species
UGGGGAAUUUUGGGACAAUGGGGGAAACCCUGAUCCAGCCAUCCCGCGUGUGCGAUGAAGGCCUUCGGGUUGUAAAGCACUUUUGGCAGGAAAGAAACGUCGCGGGUUAAUACCCCGCGAAACUGACGGUACCUGCAGAAUAAGCACCGGCUAACUACGUGCCAGCAGCCGCGGUAAUACGUAGGGUGCAAGCGUUAAUCGGAAUUACUGGGCGUAAAGCGUGCGCAGGCGGUUCGGAAAGAAAGAUGUGAAAUCCCAGAGCUUAACUUUGGAACUGCAUUUUUAACUACCGGGCUAGAGUGUGUCAGAGGGAGGUGGAAUUCCGCGUGUAGCAGUGAAAUGCGUAGAUAUGCGGAGGAACACCGAUGGCGAAGGCAGCCUCCUGGGGUAACACUGACGCUCAUGCACGAAAGCGUGGGGGAGCAAACAGGAUUAGAUACCCUGGUAGUCCACGCCCUAAACGAUGUCAACUAGCUGUUGGGGGCCUUCGGGCCUUGGUAGCGCAGCUAACGCGUGAAGUUGACCGCCUGGGGAGUACGGUCGCAAGAUUAAAACUUAAAUGAAUUGACGGGGGUCAUAGCUGUUUU